UCUGAUAUCUUAUACUUGUCACGUUUCUACGCUAACCAAUGCUUCAAUAGUUGCAAAAUACAUCUGAAAAAUAACAUUAGAUGAUUCAACAUUACCCCAUAUCUCAAGCCCCCUCAUUUGUAAAGUUAUGACUUUGAAUGAAAUCUCUUUAUGUCUCUGCUGCUUUAUGUCGAGGAUUUUUCCGUUGAGUUUAAAUAGGCCAGAAUUCAAUAUGUCAAAAUCAGGUAAACCUUUCACCAUUGUCCAUGUCCUGACUGUGGCAUCAAAAUAUUCGAUCUUGCAAUUGGUUCCAAAUGCAAAGAUCUUUUUGUUGAUAACAAAAGAGUUGUCAUACAUUUUUUCACGCAUAACAUAUCUGUCAAGUAUUCAUGUUUCUUUUAGGUCAAAAGUUGUGCACUGAGUGUCAUAGUUUAGGAUGAAAAAGAUCUUUCCACUCAAGAUCACAGUUUGGCAAAGCGAAGGUAUGGUUCUGUUUUGCUCAGGCAUAUCAAUAUCCAUUUUUUUCUUGAGUUUUUGAUUUGGUCAAAGACCUCUAGGAAGGUUGCUCAAAGGUAUGGUUACAAUAACCAUCGACCACAUCCAUAACAUAAGCCACCUCAAUGUGGCCUGGUGCCACCUCAAUGUCACCAUCAGAAAUCCUCAUAGCAUGUAUGUCAUCUAACAGCUCUCUCCGAAGUUCUCCCACAUUUGCCAGAAUUUAUCUACACACCUUAUUUAACCAUCUCAACAAAAAUAUUAUUUUUCAAAUGAUUUAACAUCUCAACAAAUUAAAUAUUU
rnacentral:sRNA from 1 species